GACGAACGCUGGCGGCGUGCCUAAUACAUGCAAGUUGAGCGAUGAAGAUUGGUGCUUGCACCAAUUUGAAGAGCAGCGAACGGGUGAGUAACGCGUGGGGAAUCUGCCUUUGAGCGGGGGACAACAUUUGGAAACGAAUGCUAAUACCGCAUAAUAACUUUAAACAUAAGUUUUAAGUUUGAAAGAUGCAAUUGCAUCACUCAAAGAUGAUCCCGCGUUGUAUUAGCUAGUUGGUGAGGUAAAGGCUCACCAAGGCGAUGAUACAUAGCCGACCUGAGAGGGUGAUCGGCCACAUUGGGACUGAGACACGGCCCAAACUCCUACGGGAGGCAGCAGUAGGGAAUCUUCGGCAAUGGACGAAAGUCUGACCGAGCAACGCCGCGUGAGUGAAGAAGGCUUUCGGAUCGUAAAACUCUGUUGGUAGAGAAGAACGUUGGUGAGAGUGGAAAGCUCAUCAAGUGACGGUAACUACCCAGAAAGGGACGGCUAACUACGUG
rnacentral:rRNA from 1 species